GAACGCUAGCUACAGGCUUAACACAUGCAAGUCGAGGGGCAGCAUUUCAGUUUGCUUGCAAACUGGAGAUGGCGACCGGCGCACGGGUGAGUAACACGUAUCCAACCUGCCGAUAACUCGGGGAUAGCCUUUCGAAAGAAAGAUUAAUACCCGAUGGUAUAAUCAGACCGCAUGGUCUUGUUAUUAAAGAAUUUCGGUUAUCGAUGGGGAUGCGUUCCAUUAGGCAGUUGGUGAGGUAACGGCUCACCAAACCUUCGAUGGAUAGGGGUUCUGAGAGGAAGGUCCCCCACAUUGGAACUGAGACACGGUCCAAACUCCUACGGGAGGCAGCAGUGAGGAAUAUUGGUCAAUGGGCGCAGGCCUGAACCAGCCAAGUAGCGUGAAGGAUGACUGCCCUAUGGGUUGUAAACUUCUUUUAUAUGGGAAUAAAGUUUUCCACGUGUGGAAUUUUGUAUGUACCAUAUGAAUAAGGAUCGGCUAACUCCGUGCCAGCAGCCGCGGUAAUACGGAGGAUCCGAGCGUUAUCCGGAUUUAUUGGGUUUAAAGGGAGCGUAGGUGGACAGUUAAGUCAGUUGUGAAAGUUUGCGGCUCAACCGUAAAAUUGCAGUUGAUACUGGCUGUCUUGAGUACAGUAGAGGUGGGCGGAAUUCGUGGUGUAGCGGUGAAAUGCUUAGAUAUCACGAAGAACUCCGAUUGCGAAGGCAGCUCACUGGACUGCAACUGACACUGAUGCUCGAAAGUGUGGGUAUCAAACAGGAUUAGAUACCCUGGUAGUCCACACAGUAAACGAUGAAUACUCGCUGUUUGCGAUAUACAGUAAGCGGCCAAGCGAAAGCAUUAAGUAUUCCACCUGGGGAGUACGCCGGCAACGGUGAAACUCAAAGGAAUUGACGGGGGCCCGCACAAGCGGAGGAACAUGUGGUUUAAUUCGAUGAUACGCGAGGAACCUUACCCGGGCUUAAAUUGCAUUUGAAUAUAUUGGAAACAGUAUAGCCGUAAGGCAAAUGUGAAGGUGCUGCAUGGUUGUCGUCAGCUCGUGCCGUGAGGUGUCGGCUUAAGUGCCAUAACGAGCGCAUCCCUUAUCUUUAGUUACUAACAGGUCAUGCUGAGGACUCUAGAGAGACUGCCGUCGUAAGAUGUGAGGAAGGUGGGGAUGACGUCAAAUCAGCACGGCCCUUACGUCCGGGGCUACACACGUGUUACAAUGGGGGGUACAGAAGGCAGCUACCUGGUGACAGGAUGCUAAUCCCAAAAGCCUCUCUCAGUUCGGAUCGAAGUCUGCAACCCGACUUCGUGAAGCUGGAUUCGCUAGUAAUCGCGCAUCAGCCAUGGCGCGGUGAAUACGUUCCCGGGCCUUGUACACACCGCCCGUCAAGCCAUGAAAGCCGGGGGUACAAGAAGUACGUAACCGCAAGGAGCGUCCUAGGGUAAAACUC
rnacentral:rRNA from 1 species